rnacentral:rRNA from 1 species
CACUUGGCCUAACACAUGCAAGUCGAACGGCAGCGCGGGGCAACCUGGCGGCGAGUGGCGAACGGGUGAGUAAUAUAUCGGAACGUACCCUGGAGUGGGGGAUAACGUACCGAAGGUUACGCUAAUACCGCAUACGAUCUAAGGAUGAAAGCAGGGGACCGCGAGGCCUUGUGCUCCUGGAGCGGCCGAUAUCUGAUUAGCUAGUUGGUGGGGUAAAGGCCUACCGAGGCAUCGAUCAAUAGCUGGUCUGAGAGGACGACCAGCCACACUGGAACUGAGACACGGUCCAGACUCCUACGGGAGGCAGCGGUGGGGAAUUUUGGACAAUGGGGGCAAGCCUGAUCCAACAGUGCCGCGUGAGUGAAGAACGCCUUCGGGUUGUGAAGCUCUUUUGUCAGGGAAGAAACGGUGAGGGCUAAUAUCCUUUGCUAAUGACGGUACCUGAAGAAUAAGCACCGGCUAACUACGUGCCAGCAGCCGCGGUAAUACGUAGGGUGCAAGCGUUAAUCAGAAUUACUGGGCGUAAUGCGUGCGCAAGCGGUUUUGUAAAUCUGUCGUGAAGUCCCCGGGCUCAACCUGGGAAUUGCGAUGGAGACUGCAAGGCUACAAUCUGGCACAGGGGAGUAGAAUUCCACGUGUAGCAUUGAAGUGCGUAUAGAUGUGGAGGAACACCGAUGGCGAAGGCAGCCCCCUGAGUCAAGAUUGACGCUCAUGCACGACAGCGUGAGGAGCACACAGGAUUAGAUACCCUGGUAGUCCGCGCCCUACACGAUGUCUAC